GAUGAAGAACGCAGCGAAAUGCGAUAAGUAGUGUGAAUUGCAGAAUUCAGUGAAUCAUCGAAUCUUUGAACGCACAUUGCGCCCCUUGGUAUUCCAUGGGGCAUGCCUGUUCGAGCGUCAUUUGUACCUUCAAGCUCUGCUUGGUGUUGGGUGUUUGUCUCGCCUCUGCGUGUAGACUCGCCUCAAAAUAAUUGGCAGCCGGCAUAUUGAUUUCGGAGCGCAGUACAUCUCGCGCUUUGCACUCAUAACGACGACGUCCAAAAGUACAUUUUUACACUCUUGACCUCGGAUCAGGUAGGGAUACCCGCUGAACUUAAGCAUAUCAAUAAGCGGAGGA
rnacentral:misc_RNA from 1 species